UCGUGGGAGGCGUUGCCCUCUGUUCCCGGCCCCUCAGGCAGCCACCCCAGUGGGCACACGCGCAGGUGCUGCUCCUGCCCCGCGCUCCCUCCCUUUGCCUUUCACUUCCCAGCUGCCAAGAUCUUGGAAGCUUUGAAGCUCAGCAAAGAAGGGAAUCCACCGAGAAUAGCCUGUAAAGGGUCAAGCAAUAUCCAGACAUUAGCAGCACUUUGCCUGUCCCUACCUGAGCCUGGGAUUCUUCCAUUGGUAUCCCAGGACCACCUGCCUGCCUCUACCCUCUUGAAAGCUUUCUGUAUCCUGCCACUGAGCACCGAGGAGAUUCCAACUGAGAGAACAUGUCCUUCAGAUUCGGCCAACAUCUCAUCAAGCCCUCUGUGGUGUUUCUCCGGACAGAACUGUCCUACGCCCUCGUGAACAGGAAACCUGUGGUCC